UACGUAGGGGGCUAGCGUUGUCCGGAUUUAUUGGGCGUAAAGAGCGUGUAGGCGGCCAGGUAGGUCUGCUGUGAAAACUCGAGGCUCAACCUCGAGACGUCGGCGGAAACCAUCUGGCUAGAGUCCGGAAGAGGAGAGUGGAAUUCCUGGUGUAGCGGUGAAUGCGCAGAUAUCAGGAGGAACACCAAUGGCGAAGGCAGCUCGCUGGGACGGUACUGACGCUGAGACGCGAAAGCGUGGGGAGCGAACAGG
rnacentral:rRNA from 1 species